rnacentral:rRNA from 1 species
AACGAACGCUGGCGGCGUGCCUAAUACAUGCAAGUCGAGCGGACCAAAGAGAGCUUGCUCUCUGAGGUUAGCGGCGGACGGGUGAGUAACACGUGGGUAACCUGCCUGUAAGACGGGGAUAACUUCGGGAAACCGAAGCUAAUACCGGAUGAUAAAGAGAAACGCCUGUUUCUUUUUUGAAAGUCGGCCUUGUGCUGACGCUUCCAGAUGGGCCCGCGGCGCAUUAGCUAGUUGGUGAGGUAACGGCUCACCAAGGCGACGAUGCGUAGCCGACCUGAGGGGGUGAUCGGCCACACUGGGACUGAGACACGGCCCAGACUCCUACGGGAGGCAGCAGUAGGGAAUCUUCGGCAAUGGACGAAAGUCUGACCGAGCAACGCCGCGUGAGCGAUGAAGGCCUUCGGGUCGUAAAGCUCUGUUGUCAGAGAAGAACAAGUACCGGAGUAACUGCCGGUACCUUGACGGUACCUGACCAGAAAGCCACGGCUAACUACGUGCCAGCCGCCGCAGUAACAC